CCAUAUUUAACCCGUUCAAAUUCAAUCUAGUCCGUCAGUUUGGCCUAGCUAUAUCUACGUGGCCUCUACCACGUAUGAUAUUGAAGCUUUACAGUACACACUAGAAAGCCAAUUAAACAAACAACGGGUCAAAAAAUUUCCCAUCCAUUUUUCCAGCAGAUCGAACACACCAUUUUCCUCUAAUUCUCAGCAUUCUUAGUGACUAGAAAUGGCUUUGGGUGGAGAUGGACCGCAAAGGGGGACUGCUGCAGCAGCUGCUGCUAACCUACGUCGAAGGAAAACCGCUGGUGGUGCUGGAGGUGCAGGAGGAGCAAGUGGUACCAUGCUCCAAUUCUACACUGAUGAUUCCCCUGGACUCAAGAUAUCCCCCAAUGUUGUGCUUGUGAUGAGUAUUGGCUUCAUAUCCUUUGUUGCGAUCCUUCACGUCUUGGGCAAGCUCUACUUUGUCCGCUGAGAGGGCUAGAGGAAUUCAGAUAUCUCAUUGGAGACGUGCAAAAUUUUUCUGGGGCUAUAACUUUCUUGAUUGAAGGAAAACUGACAUUGUAGAUUUAUAUUCCUUUUGUUUGUCUAUGCAAUGAAGUUUAUAGAAAGUUUUCUAAUGAGCUAUCUGUGUUCCAACCUCUAAUGAAUAGAGGAUGGCACCAAAUUCUAGUUUCUUCGACCGUGAAUGGAAUCAAGUUGCAAUUAUAGUUUUAGUGGAAAUGAUUUUGUUUUGCUUA